ensembl:processed_transcript
GGUGCAGCACGAAGUCCCACUACGACUAGAACACCCACACCCAGUACUUCAGAAAAAGCAUCCCAUGUUCCAGAAGCGACUCCCACAUACUCAGAAGCAAAUGAAGUUGCUGGUGAAGCAACUAUGUGGGGCAAGGACAAGUACAAAGCUCUCAAUGGCCACAUCUUUUCCUUCGAGUCUGAGUGCACAUUCACUUUCUGCCGCGAUUGUGCUGAGCCUGGAGGAGACUUCAACAUUGAGAUCAAAAAGCAUAAGAAUGGUGAUAUUGAAGAAAUCAAAGCUCUGAUCGAUGACGUUGAGAUCUUGGUUGUGCGUAAUAGUAUUUCUGUCAAUGAAGAAAGGGUAAAGGUACCAUUCAGCAAUAAGAUGAUUCAUAUUAAGAAGCAAGGCAACCACUAUUCUCUCAAAACCCGCAGAAGAAUCUUGUCUCUAAAGUGGAGCAAGGACAAACUCUCACUCAUUCUUUAUAGCCACUAUACAACCUGUGGUCUUUGCGGCAACUUCGACAGCGUCCCAGGUGACGAUGUUAAUGAGCAUAUUGCCAGUAGUAAGAUCUCCAAUGACUGCCCCAGCCCUUUGAGCAGGAGCAAUGAAGUCUGCGAGGAUGGAGUCCAGUACUGUGACAAAAUUAUUGAAACGUACUUUGAGAAAUGUUCGAAAGUUUCCCCCUUAUCCCGUGAGUACAAAAACGUGUGUGCUGAUGAGUACUGUCGAAAAGGAGGAGGCAAGCAGACUACGUGUGAUACCUACUCGGAACUGGCCCGCCUAUGUGCCUAUGAUGGUCCUGGUGACUAUGAACACUGGCGAGAUGACUCUGCUGUGGUUUGUGCAAAGGAACAAUGUCCAGGGAAGCACAUCUACAAAGAAUGUGGACCUUCAAAUCCUCCAACGUGCUCCAAUGUGGCUCCCUUUCAAGACAGUGAAUGUGUGAGUGGCUGCACCUGUCCAGAAGGUUACCUAUUGGAUGACAUUGGAGAGAAAGGAAAGUGUGUAUUAAAGGAAAAAUGUCCCUGUGAAUCUAAUGGAAAAGUGUACAAGCCAGGAAAAGUCCGCGAAGGCCCCUGUGGCUCUCGGUGCACAUGCCAAGAAGCUAAGUGGUCUUGCACUGAAGCUCGAUGUCCUGGGAUAUGUAAAGUAGAAGGGAGCUCCUUUACCACUUUUGAUGACAAUAAAUUUAGCCACCCUGGAGACUGCCACUUCUUGGCUGUCCAUAAUGAUGAAAUUUCUAUUAGCGUGGAGAUCCACCCAUGCGGGAAUGGUCAGACGGGAUCGUGUUUAACUAGUGUUAUGGUUCUCCAGAAUUCUUCUUCUUCAAGUAACAGAUAUGUGUUCAACCGUGAUGGGACAGUCACAAAGGAUGGAGUUAUAAUUAAAGGUUAUUACUAUUCAGAUGAUGUGCAGAUCUUCAAUUCAUCCUCUUCGUACAUGCAAGCAGAGAUUCUCUCACACAUAAAACUGCAAAUACAAUUGGCCCCUAGGAUGCAGUUGUAUGUGUCCUUGGCUCCUAACACAUCCACAGACACUGUAGGUCUUUGUGGUUCCUUCAACAAUAAGGCAGAAGAUGAUUUCAUGUCAAGUCAGAACAUUUUGGAGAGCACAGCUCAGGCAUUUGCUAACUCCUGGGAGAUGAUGCCUUGCUCUGAGGGAAGCCCCUCUUCCUGUGUCAGCAUUGAAACAGAGAAGUUUGCUGAAAGUAACUGUGAGAUUCUUCUCAGUUCAAGUGGGCCUUUUGCUGCUUGUCAUCAGACUGUGAACCCCAAAUUCUAUCAUGAGGAAUGCAAAAAAUAUACGUGCUCUUGUGAAAACGGUCAGGAUUGCCUGUGUACAGUCUUGGGGAACUAUGUGAAGGCAUGUGCUGAGAAGGAAAUAUACCUCGUGGGCUGGAGAGAUGGACUGUGUGAGGUGUCUUGUCCAAGUGGUCUUGUCUUCAACUACAAAGUAAAAACCUGCAACAGUUCUUGCCGAUCGCUGUCGGCACGAGACCGAAGCUGUGAUAUAGAAGACAUUCCGGUUGACGGAUGUACUUGCCCUGAUGGAAUGUACCAGAAUAAUGAAGGGAACUGUGUUCAGAAAUCUGAGUGUGACUGCUAUGUUAAUGAUGAGAUCGUGCAACCUGGCAAAUCGAUUCUUAUUGAUGACAAUAAGUGUGUCUGUCAGGAUGGAGUGCUUCAUUGCCAAACUCCCCUUGAUUUAACCCUACAAAACUGUUCCAGAGGGGCUGAAUACAUAGACUGCAAAGACCCCAAGGCCCAGAGAAGGACAGAAAGGACAUGUGCUACCCGGAACAUACCUGAUUUUGAGGGUGACUUGCCUUGCAAACGUGGGUGCUACUGUCCUGUAGGAAUGGUCCGUAACUCUAAAGGGAUAUGUAUACAUCCUGAUGACUGUCCCUGCUCUUUUGGUGACAGAGAAUAUGAACAGGGAAGUGUUACUUCUGUUGGCUGCAAUGAGUGUACUUGCAUAAAAGGGUCUUGGAACUGUACCCAGAAUGAGUGUCAAUCAACUUGCCAUGUCUACGGAGAAGGACAUUUCAGAACUUUUGAUGGAGAAAGUUACAGUUUCGACGGGCUCUGCCAGUAUACAUUCCUUGAGGAUUACUGUGGCCAAGAAAAUGGCACAUUCCGUAUUUUAAUCGAGAGUGUCCCCUGCUGUGAAAAUGGGCUUACUUGCUCCAGAAAAGUCAUCGUGACAUUCCAGGAUCAGAACAUCAUCUUACAAGACGGCAAAGUGACAGCAGUUCAAACUGCGGAGAGUACAGAUUGCAGGGAGCGUAGUGCGAACUUGUACUCGAUCCACACGGUUGGCCUGUACCUGAUUGUGAAGCUUCUGAACGGAAUUAUCCUGAUCUGGGACAAAUACACAAAAGUAUCGGUUAUCCUGGACCCAAG